AACGAACGCUGGCGGCAUGCCUAACACAUGCAAGUCGAACGAGACCUUCGGGUCUAGUGGCGCACGGGUGCGUAACGCGUGGGAAUCUGCCCUUGGGUUCGGAAUAACAGUUAGAAAUGACUGCUAAUACCGGAUAAUGUCUUCGGACCAAAGAUUUAUCGCCCAGGGAUGAGCCCGCGUAGGAUUAGCUAGUUGGUGAGGUAAAGGCUCACCAAGGCGACGAUCCUUAGCUGGUCUGAGAGGAUGAUCAGCCACACUGGGACUGAGACACGGCCCAGACUCCUACGGGAGGCAGCAGUGGGGAAUAUUGGACAAUGGGCGAAAGCCUGAUCCAGCAAUGCCGCGUGAGUGAUGAAGGCCUUAGGGUUGUAAAGCUCUUUUACCCGGGAUGAUAAUGACAGUACCGGGAGGAAUAAGCCCCGGCUAACUCCGUGCCAGCAGCCG
rnacentral:rRNA from 1 species